rnacentral:lncRNA from 1 species
CUAAGAAGUUCCAUUAGAAUGUAGAGUGCUUGGUAAAAUAUUCUAUUUCUAGUUUCUAAAUAUAAAAAUGGAGCAAUCUUCAGCCACUGUGUGGCUACUGAGAAGAUAAGUAAUCUCUAAAAUAAUAAACCUCCAAAUUCCUUAGAAUUAGGCCUUGUAACUGGAACUGGCUAUCAGAUGAGAAUAACUCAAUUGAGCUCAGGGUAGCCAAAAAGCUUUUCCUAUUUUAUCAAAUUGCUUCCUCUUGCUGAUGGCUGGAACCCAACUUGGAUAUUGUGGUUUUACGAUUGUGAUAUAAAAUGCCAUCAGGAAGUAUUCUGAUGUCUCCAGAUCACCCUCAAGAUAAUCAGCAUGGUCUGAAUUGACUUUGAACUACUAGACUAGAUCUUGUUCCCAGACUUACCUGAAUAUAUAACCAGUGAAGAUCUCUCAUUUAAUAAAGCUUCCCUCCCCCACAAUUCUGAUUCUCGACAAUUGAGAUUUAAGAGGCACAAAUGGAAGCGCACAAAUCACAAAACUUACCCAGAUUCCUGAAUUCAAACUUGGGUCCAUAACUCAGGCCUUAAAGAUAUUUUAUAGUCUCU